AGCGAACGCUGGCGGCAGGCCUAACACAUGCGAGUCGAACGAACUCUUCGGAGUUAGUGGCGGACGGGUGAGUAACACGUGGGAACGUGCCUUUUGGUUCGGAAUAACUCAGGGAAACUUGUGCUAAUACCGAAUGUGCCCUUCGGGGGAAAGAUUUAUCGCCAUUAGAGCGGCCCGCGUCUGAUUAGCUAGUUGGUGAGGUAACGGCUCACCAAGGCGACGAUCAGUAGCUGGUCUGAGAGGAUGACCAGCCACACUGGGACUGAGACACGGCCCAGACUCCUACGGGAGGCAGCAGUGGGGAAUCUUGCGCAAUGGGCGAAAGCCUGACGCAGCCAUGCCGCGUGAAUGAUGAAGGUCUUAGGAUUGUAAAAUUCUUUCACCGGGGACGAUAAUGACGGUACCCGGAGAAGAAGCCCCGGCUAACUUCGUGC
rnacentral:rRNA from 1 species